CUAUCCAUACACACAACUGCCUAAUUGCCUCCCUCUUUUCCUCUUGAAGUAUUAGCAUGGCUUCUUCUUUCUCCUCCAUCAUUUUCUCCACUUCUCUCACUUUAUUUUCUGCCUUCCAAAGCCUCUCUCUGAAUACUAGUAUUUCACCUUCCUUAUCAUCUAACUGCACGAUCAAACAAUCUAAUUCGUCCCUUACGUGUACUAAUGUAUUGUUUUUCCUCAUUGCAAAAUCCUUAGCGAAUUUCAGCUCGCAAGAAGCUUUUGAAAUUCGGUUCAAGAAAUUUGCAUUGCACUCUUCCAGCUUUAAUGUCACUGUAUCUAAGGAAUUAAACACGUCCUUUGCUGCGUGUAAUAUAUCUCGGUUUUCUUGUUCGUACAUUUCCCUUUUCUUCCUAUACCAAUCUUUGUUCUCCAUAUGCAAUUGUUCUGCGACCCUAAUUCUACGGCUCAAGAUUCUGAGAUUGUCUUCAAACUGUUUUCUCAGCUCUUCUACCAUUUCUUCAACCUUCCUUUCGGCUAUCAAGAAGUUCGACUUGGAAUCUGCCAACCUUGAUUGAACUUGUUUGUUUUCGUCUUUUAACUUGCUCACCAUAUCCUCCAGUUCUAUCUGAAUCCUCUGCUGAUCACAAAUUUUGUUGUUUAACUCAAUUAUCCUUUUUUCUUUCUCAGAUUUCUCUUUUUCAAGCUCCAUCUGUAAUCUGCUCUUCUCAUUUUGCAAGGUUUUCGACUCCAGCUGCGAUCUGUCCUUUUCAGUUUGUUGGUUAUCCUUAAGUUUCCUCAUUUGCGUAGCCAGUUCAUUUUCUCUUUCUGAAAGUAUUUUCUGCAAUUCGAAUUUUUUUGCAUGCAGAUCUUCAUUUUCUGCCUGUGAUUGAUAAGCUUCAUGAUUUAUGCUCAUUAUCUGAUCUUCCAAGUCACUCUUCUGACUACUUAAAGAACGAACCUCAAGUUCUAAAUCGUUCAAAUUUUCGAUCUUAAUUAGGCAUUCUGAUGUUUCUUUUGAUCUCAUUUCAAGUUCUAACUCCAAUCUAGCUUUCUGACUUCUCAAGCACUCCAGUUCCUGCUGUAAAAGAUUAACUCUUUCCGCUAGGUCUUCGAAUGACAACUGUUCUUCCGGUUUGUCUGUCUGAGCGUAUGAAGUUUUUACUUCAAGCUGCAGAUCGUUCACCUGAGCCUCGAGGUUUUCAAUUCUAGACAAAUAGAACUUCUUAUUUUCCUCGAAUUUUUUUCCCACAUCAGAAAAUUGACUUUCUUUCUCUUUGAAUGUAGCUUCGAGCUCCAAAACACGAGCCUCCAAUCUAGAAUUUUGUACCUUCAAUUCCUCAGCUUCAUUCGACUUGCACUUAAUUUGCUCCUCUAGUUUUCUUUUCUGCGUUGACAGCGUUUCAGUCUGAAGCUUCCAUUUUUCAACCUGGCCCUCUAACUCUUUCACGAGCGACAACAGUUCCUCUCUUUCAACCAAUUUUCUCUUUAACAAGACAGAUGAAUCCAAUAAUACUUUCUUUGUACUUUCGGACUCAUCAUUUUGAAUCCCGAGGUCCAUAAGAAUUUCCCUGGAUUGCAGAAAAUUGCUGAAAGAUGACUCUGAACCCAAAAUUAUGGUUUCCUUCACUUCACUUGUAGAAGUUAACUUGUCCUUGAGAAUAGUAUCUUCGAAAUCUGAAGUUUCAAGUUCGUGACGAUCACCAUCUGGCACUUCUGGAUUCUCACUACCGUCUUUAUCAUUCAACUCAUCUGGAGAAUAGUACAACUCUGAAUCUGUGGUGGAAGCAGAACUUUCAUAAUCAUCUCCACUAACCUUUUUCUUCACCUCUCCUCUUAAAUCUUCAUAUAGAGAGUAUAAGGAUUCAUAAUGCUUCUGGAAAUCUUCAACGAGGUGAACAAGUUCAGAUUUUUUCUUCGAAAUCCCAUCUUUAUUUCCUUGAUUUAUAUUUUUCGCUAGCUUCAAAAUCCUUUUCACUUUACUCUCAAUUUCUGCAAUAAAAAUGGAACUUUGCAUUUUAGAUAUGAACAUCAAACAGCAUACUUUAUUACUUUUAGAAGCCAAAACGAUGGAGGUGGCACUGGAAAUGCGCCAAAUGGUUCAAAGCUGGGCAAUUUUUGGUUUAAGAACUGAUUUCAAGACUUCAACUAAAGUUCAUAAAUGUACGCUUUUGAACAUAAAGUAGAAUAUCUCAAAGUCAACAUACUCUUACAAUAACAAAAAUCAGUAUUGAGUCUAUACUUGUGAACUUCCGGUGGUGCCGUCGUCGGAGUACGGUGGUGGAGAAGAUGAGAGAGAGAGAGAGAGAGAGAAAUAAUGGGCAGGUUCUAUAGUUUCAUUCUUUCGUGCCAUUAAGAAGUUGAACAGGUCUCUCUCUCUUUUUUUUUUUUUUUUUGGGAAAACAAGUUAAUUACUUUUUUGCUUUAAAACAAAAUUUUGGCAUCUAGAUGUUGAUUGUGCAGUCAUGUAGACUGGGAUUCAAUCUCAGUGGGGGACCAAUAGCAAUAUUUGCAGUAAAAAGUAAAAAAUGCGUUGUUAUGUCAGUAUCCCACAUUCUCUAAUAAAAUUGACGACUGAGUUGGUUGUUUUGGGGAUGACUGUUUACCUAUUUUUAUCCAUUCCAGUUGCUCUUCUUUUAGAGGAUCGAUAUGGUUCCCAAAGAUCUUCGUGGAUUCCUUCCACAGAUGCGUUUCCAUUUCUGCUCGAAAAUGUAAGCAAUCCUUCUGAACCAAAGCAUAAAAAAGGAAUGAAUCCAAGAAGUUAAUGAUGUGAACAUAAACUUAUACGUUCAAACACAAGAUGAAAAUCCUCUUUAGUUCUUCCUAUAAACAAAAAAUGCCUCUAUCAAAUUUAAAGAUGCAAUACAAUAAAAAAAUAUUUGGUAGUUACCAAUUGCUCGAUCACAAUACUUAAACAUAUAAUUGAGAAAACAAACCCAUAUUUUCAGAUGUAUAAUCUCGUUCCACACAAAUCGACUACCCAUUCCAGAAUCCUAUAUAAUGCAUACUGAGAUUUCUCUGUGAAAUCAUUCAAUAAAUUCAAUUAUCAAUACCAUGACAUGAGCUCGCGUAAAUCAGAAUUGGGUUUGUAAAUUAAACGUAAAUAUAAUAGUAUUAAUACAGACAAAAUUUUGGGUUCUGCAUUGUGAUUACCGUGACUCAACAAAAUGUUUAUUUAUCCAAAAAAAAAAUAAAUAAAUAAAUAAAGAAGAAGAGGAUUUUCUAUCCAUUUUCGUUGCCUUUUGGUUGCAUGUAGAAAGAGAAGAGAGGAGAGUAGAAUGAAUAACAAAAGAUUACCCGAGAACUUCAACUUUAGAGAUCUGAAUGAACGACAAAUCCCAUUAUGCAAACAUUUUUGAAAUUUCAAAUUACUCCGACCUUUUUUCUAUUUUCAUUAGACCUCGUGUGGCAGUUAUUACUGUAUGCACCUCCGGACGUUCGUUUGAAACAGUAAAAAAAUAAGCCAUCAUUAUCUUCUUUUCUCUCUCUCUCUCUCUCUCUCUCUCUAAGAAUUUGUCACCGCAAUUUUCUAUUCACUAUGCUUGCAUAUUUUUUCUAAUUGCAUCAAAGGUUAUCGCACUUGUAUCCUAGAUUAUUUUGUUGCAUUACUAUUAUCAAAUUUUCAUCAAUUAGUACCUUUCGUUACUGAUGAUGGUUUUGUUGGUUGUGUGCCCAUAUAUCAUAUUUUGCUGUGAUAAAAUAAUUAUUUAUAAUAAAUAAAUUGUAAUUUUAUUUAUUUAUUAUAUUAUUUAUUAUUAAGCAUGCAAAUUAAAGUGCCUAUGAUCACUUGAGAUAAUAUAAGUUGGGUACUUGCGUUGAUAAGUAAAGUGUGAUACAACUUAUAUUUUGAUCAUAAAUAAUUUAUUCAUAAUCUAUGUAUAAGGGUUGACACCUUGUAUUGAAAGAUUGUAGUGUUGAUCAAUUUACUAUUCGAGUUUGUGAUUUGUCCUUAUCACAGAAAUAGUUAAAAAUGACACUAGUAUACUUGAAGUGUAUUGAAUGGAUUGCGUGUCGAAUUUAAUUCUAUAGCAUGAUUUAAUUCUAUAGCAUGACCAUGCGGAG
rnacentral:lncRNA from 1 species